rnacentral:rRNA from 1 species
CCUACGGGAGGCAGCAGUGGGGAAUAUUGCACAAUGGGGGAAACCCUGAUGCAGCGACGCCGCGUGCGCGAUGAAGUACCUCGGUGUGUAAAGCUCUAUCAGCAGGGAAGAAAAUGACGGUACCUGACGAAGAAGCCCCGGCUAACUACGUGCCAGCAGCCGCGGUAAUACGUAGGGGGCAAGCGUUAUCCGGAUUUACUGGGGGUAAAGGGAGCGUAGACGGUCCUGCAAGCCAGGUGUGAAAGCCCGGGGCUCAACCCCGGGACUGCGUGUGGAACUGUAUGGCUGGAGUGUCGGAGGGGCAGGCGGAAUUCGUGGUGUAGCGGUGAAAUGCGUAGAUAUUAGGAGGAACACCGGUGGCGAAGGCGGCCUGCUGGACGGCGACUGACGUUGAGGCUCGAAAGCGUGGGGAGCAAACAGGAUUAGAUACCCUUGUAGUC